UAAAGAAUGGCUGUACAUCUACAGCAAAGAGCUGUUUUCAAAACUCAAUACAGUAAUAUAACAAAAAUACAGUAACAUACUGUAAACUAGUUAAGAUACAGUAACAUACUGGACAUGCAAGGCAUUCUGGGAUUGGUUUGUGACAAGGAAGUAAGAGUGCUGCAAGCUGAGCAGAGGUUUUAGUUCAGAAAACCACAUUAGAAUUUUUAGAACUUCUCUUACGUUCUGUUACUUAUGUUAUAGCUUAUAAUUAGUUGUCUUUUUAUCACUCUGUCUACUCAGCUCAUUUAUUUUUAAUAUUAUUCGUUUUGCACUUUCCAUUGUUGGGCUAGUCAGGGAACAACGUGUGAGGCGGGAGAAUUGAAAGUUCCAGAAACAAUUCAUUACCAUUUUGACUUGAAUGAUGUCUGAGUUACAAAAAAUAGAUUAAGCAAACCUUACUGUGAGUAAUACCAAGCCUUCCUGAGGAGUCACUCAAUCAGUCAAUUGAGAAAUGUGUAGGCUGAGGAGUAGAAGAUUUAAUGUAUGUGAAAGAAGUGGACAUUUUAAGAGUUCAUACAAUCUGUCCAGUGCCGAAAUCUGCUCAGCACCUGGAAAGAUCAUGAACAAAGAAGCAGCAUUUUGGUUCAGUAAUUAGUUUGACCUAGCUCUCCUCAAAAUUCACCACAAAUGAGCUCCUCAGGCUCCUCAGUAAGAAAAUGGAUGGACUCAUGCUUCAAACAGAUGCAUUUGCCACUUCAGCAGAUGUCCAAGGAACACUCACCUUGCCUGACACUCCUUGAAUUAUAAUUCUUGGUCAAACUCUAAGCAACCGGCAGUGGAUGACGAUUUAUUGACAUCAACCCUGAACAAAUGUCCAAAGCCAAUGAAAGAAAAGCUACAUGCAAGAAGACUAGCCAAGUAGUCCAUAACAAGAAGAACGCAGUAAACCCUCAUUUUUACUAUCCACUUUGUUAGACAAUGGACUUUGAAUGGAGUUUGGUCUGAGUUCAUCCAAGACCACUUUGUUCACUUUUAAUUUUGACAGAUUAGGCAAUUUUUGUCUAACAUGGUGUUCAUAUUCUAUUUUAAUGUGAAAGUCAACAUUGGUGCUAUUUUUAAAUUUAGUACUGAAUGCUGCACUAUGUGUAUUGCCAGUGUUUCCCACCUCUGUUGCAACCAUUUGUGUUUAUCUGAAAUAAUGAAAGACUGCUAACAAUUAAAAAAACUGGUAAUGUAAAAAGCUAAUCAAGAUCUUAAAAAUAAAUGUUUAUUGGAAUGUUUCAAAUGAAAGAA